rnacentral:rRNA from 1 species
UAAGUAGGUGCCGAGCGUUGUCCGGAAUUAUUGGGCGUAAAGAGCUCGUAGGCGGUUUGUCGCGUCUGCUGUGAAAUCCCGAGGCUCAACCUCGGGUCUGCAGUGGGUACGGGCAGACUGGAGUGCGGUAGGGGUGACUGGAAUUCCUGGUGUAGCGGUGGAAUGCGCAGAUAUCAGGAGGAACACCGAUGGCGAAGGCAGGACACUGGGCCGCAACUGACGCUGAGGAGCGAAAGCAUGGGGAGCGAACAGG